rnacentral:rRNA from 1 species
UACGGAGGGAGCUAGCGUUGUUCGGAAAUACUGGGCGUAAAGCGCACGUAGGCGGCGCCGCAAGUCAGGGGUGAAAUCCCGGGGCUCAACCCCGGAACUGCCCUUGAAACUGCAGUGCUAGAAUUCUGGAGAGGCGAGUGGAAUUCCGAGUGUAGAGGUGAAAUUCGUAGAUAUUCGGAAGAACACCAGUGGCGAAGGCGACUCGCUGGACAGACAUUGACGCUGAGGUGCGAAAGCGUGGGGAGCAAACAGG